rnacentral:misc_RNA from 1 species
GGAAAACAUAUCCUGCUUGGAGUUGAUGGUCAACAGAAGGAAGAUGCUUCCCACAGGAAUUUCCUUGAAAAUUUGGAGCUAAUGAAGCCGGAGUUUGUGUCAGAUGAUGAUGAUGAUAACUUGCUUAAUGAAAAUUAUCAACUCCAACACAACAUUUUUGAGAAGAAAAGGUUAAAUCACGAGGGAUGUAGUGAUUUGGUGGAGGCAGUAACCAAGAAGCAGAAGAUUGUUGCUGCUGAGCACUACGAGGAGAUGGCUGGCAAGAAGCAAGAUUUGAUUGAUGAUACAGAUUUUCUGAGUCAGGAACUGGAUAGAGUGAGGGAUACUGUCACUAAGGGUGAGGAUGCUCAGUUGCCGAAGGAUGAAAUAAGGAUGCUGCUGGAAGAGGUGAAAUAUCUACAACACUGUCGCGAUGCAACAGGAAAGGAGAACAAGAACGACGAGAAGUUUCAAAAGACUGUCAUUAACCCUUUGAAUCUUUUGAUGAAUAAUGUGGCUACUAAGGAUCACAAAGUCACAG